AUGGUGUCAUUGCCACCUGAAGACCUAGUUCUCUUGCGCCGGGACGGCUCGGCCCAGCAAGGUCCAAUUCUGGUGAAGUACUUGGCAGCACCUAUGCAAUUUCGUUCCAGAAAUGUGCUUAUCCAACUGUGCCGCAAGCAUUAUAGUGGUACUUCCUAUGGAGGCAAGAUCACUUCCAAGAAUAUCUUAUUUGACCGAUAUGGGAAUGUCCGUAUUGAUUCUGCCCCUGAAACGCUUACUCAACAUUCGGCUAAAUUGGACUAUGAGGCAAUUGGUAAAAUAUUGGAUGAUUCGUUCCAAGGCAAGGUAUAUCCAAUGCAUUUCUACCAACUGGUCGACUUCCUAAGAUAUGGUCCUGCUGUGGACUGUCAAAGUGAGGCUGUGAUAGCAUUUGUGACAAAUCAUGUUUCAUUGCUUUCUCAUUACGUGAGGGUGUCAAUCAGUGAAAUUUUGGUUCAGCUGGUUGAACGACUUCAUCCAGAUGUGAGGACUGCCUUACUAAAUAUACUUGAUCAAUUUGCUUGGGCGAAUACCGUGAAGAAUGUUGCAGCAAUGAAGUAUACAUACUUUUAUCAUUCUCGGAACAAUCAAGAUGGGACAGUUUGGGUUCCGUAUGUGGACGAUGGGGUCAGUUUUCUGAAGUUCUCAAAUAACUUUUUCAAGCAUCAUAAGUGGACCUCUUUAGAGAAGCUUGAUGCAGCUUUUUCGUUGAUGGAGAAAAGGAACUUUAUACCUCGAUUCCUGUUAACCAUUCUUGUGACUUUGAAAGACUCAGAGAAUCAAUGUCCUGCACUGAUACAGUCUUUUAUUGACCAAGUGGUUGAGAUGCUGGGGAAUAACGUAAUUGACCUCCAGAGGGGUUGA
rnacentral:rRNA from 1 species